GGCUUAUUGAUAAAGGAUUUUAGGUCUAGCCUGCCCCCUGAUAUAUUUAAAUGGCCGCAGUAUUUUGACUGUGCUAAGGUAGCAUAAUAAUUAGUUUUUUAAUUGAAAGCUAGAAUGAAUGGUAUUAUGAAAAAAUUACUGUCUCUUUUAAAAAAUUAAAAUUUUAUUUUUAAGUUAAAAAGCUUAAAUGUUAUUAAAAGACGAGAAGACCCUAUAGAAUUUUAUUUAAAUUAAUUUUUAAUAAGUUAGUAUAUAAAAUUUGAAAAUAAAUUUAUAUUUAGUUGGGGUGAUUAAAAAAAUUAAGUAUCUUUUUUUUAUAUUAACAUUAAUUUAUGAUUUUAUGAUUCAUAUUUAUGAUUUAAGAAUAAAUUACCUUAGGGAUAACAGCGUAAUUUUUUUUUAGAGCCCUAAUCAAAAAAAAAGAUUGCGACCUCGAUGUUGGAUUAAAAUUUAUUUUUGGUGUAGUAGCUAAAGUAUUAAGUCUGUUCGACUUUAAAAAUUUUACA
rnacentral:rRNA from 1 species